GUGAUUGUGGCUCAGUAGGAAGAGUACUUGUCUUGCAAUCAGAAGGUUAUGGGUUUGAUUCCAACUUACCUACC